AUCAAGCUGACGAGUCCUAAAUAGGACGGAAUGUGCAUCCUGGAU
rnacentral:hammerhead_ribozyme from 1 species